GGCUUUUAGAACUUGUGUCCUGAUCACAGAAACCUCAUUUUGACUCGUUGCUUCAGUUAUACACGCUUUAGUGUCGGUAUACUUGAUUGGUGUGCGGUUUUGAAACGGCGUACAGUUUUGAAUUAAUCCUGGAUUCCACAUCGGUGUCUGAUUGUGAAUCUGCAUUGUCAUUAAGUAUUGUUGCAGCCUACCCUUUUAGAUCUGAACAUGACCUGUAACACAUUUCACAAGCUCAGGCUCCAAACAUGGGUCAGCGCUCACCAGAACAUCAUUACUGUGAGCGAAAACACCACAAUCUCCAGCCAAAUGCAGGCUGUCAAGCUUCCGACCAUCCAUAGUUCUUCCCUUGCAAGAGGACUGCGUCCAUUCCCACCACCUCAGAAGAAGGUGAACGGAUCCAGUCUCAGUGCUGAAGAACAAUUUCUGAUCUUUGGGCUCCAAUGCAGGGAGGACAAAACAGGGGAAGAAGUCAGGUUGUUCAUUAGAGAGGGACAACAGGAACGGCCCGCCACAGGAACGCGACCAACAGGGGCCCGAAGCGAAAGCUGUCUUCCACCGCUCAACGUGCGGAGGCCAGUGUUUCAACCCAUCUCAGAGUACAAAGCUGAGGUUUUACAAAGCGGUCGCUGUAAACUUGAUACAAUACAUAAAAUGGAGAUCCUGCAUACUUGGGCCCAACUCGCUUCUAUGGAGGAAAGCGAAAUGUCCCAAAUAGAGCUCGGAGCAAAACAAGACUGGGCCAAUUAUGAAGCCUCUUUCCGUGACUCGGAUCCCUUGAAGAACGAGCAAAAGGCUCAGGAUUCAUUUUCAAAGAGGCUAAAAUUAGAAGAAAAGGAAAAAGCUCUUCUAAGAAAAAUCUAUCGUGUUCAAGACACAAUUGAAAUUGCAGAGAUGCAUCUGAAGGAAGACCGCGAGCGUGAAGAGCGUGAGGAAGAGGGCAGCAAACAAAGCCCAGGGGACCUUGAAAAAUUAACGUGGGAGUAUGUGAAUUUCAUGUCCAUAAAUGAGGAAACCAACAAGGUACUCAAGUACUACGAGGAUGAAAAGGAAAAGCUUAAAAAGAAUGCAGACCGCAUGGAGGUGGAGAUACAGAGCAUGGCUCUCUGCAUUAAAGAAGAGCAGGUGAAAAAAAACAAGGUCAAAGCAGAAGUGGGGAUGAUAAAUAAUAUCAAGGACUCGAGGAAAAUGAAAAUAUGGACAAAGACCGAAAAGUUGUGUGAGGAGCUUGCGAAGGUCCAAGAGAGCUAUGGGGAGCAGGCCUUCAGCCCUGCGUAUCCAUUGAUGAUACUGCUCCAGUUGGAGGACUGGAUUUCUGACUCUCUGGAUUUGAUCGAAAACAUGCCAGCUGAGAGGCUCUACAAAAUACAAAAGCGGAUUUGCAAACAUCAUGAAAUCAGGGAGCAGGAACAGAAACGCAUUAGGCGUGAAACUUUAUUAGAAGAACGGAGGCAGAGAAGACAGGAGAGAGCACUUUCUCAUUCGGUGAAACUGACCGGAAAAAAGCUGAUGCCACGUAGCCGGCCUCCGAAGAAGAUAAGAAAGAAAGAGGAACCAGUGGAAACCAAGAAGACGAAGGAGGAUCUAUACGCUCACUUUGUGGAAUAAUUCGCCUCCUCCUCCUCAAGCUCCUCCACGGCCUUCUCCAGUGCCUGUCUUCCUCCACUGAGAAGAAAUACCUCCAGUACCCACUGUGCAAACAAAAAAACAAAUAAUCCUUAGACAACGUAGAUAUUAGGAAGAUAUUAGUAGAUAAUUGACAUGUGUCUUAUGCCUUCCUGUUGUGGAUCACCUUGUGCGGAUAAUAUUAAAGAAUUUUACUCUCAUCUUCAUCUUCAUGCAAG
rnacentral:lncRNA from 12 species